rnacentral:rRNA from 1 species
CCUACGGGAGGCAGCAGUGGGGAAUAUUGCACAAUGGGCGGAAGCCUGAUGCAGCAACGCCGCGUGCGGGAUGACGGCCUUCGGGUUGUAAACCGCUUUCGCCUGUGACGAAGCGUGAGUGACGGUAAUGGGUAAAGAAGCACCGGCUAACUACGUGCCAGCAGCCGCGGUAAU